CUACGGGGUGCUCCAGUGAGGAAUUUUGCGCAAUGGGGGAAACCCUGACGCAGCAACGCCGCGUGAGCGAAGAAGGCCCUCGGGUCGUAAAGCUCUGUCAAGUGGGAAAAAAAUUUUUUGAUCAAUAGCCAAAAGACUUGAUGGUACCACUGGAGGAAGCACCGGCUAACUCCGUGCCAGCAGCCGCGGUAAUACGGAGGGUGCAAGCGUUGUUCGGAUUUACUGGGCGUAAAGAGCGUGUAGGCGGUUUAGCAAGUCAGAUGUGAAAGCCCUGGGCUCAACCCGGGAAGUGCAUUUGAAACUGCUUCACUAGAGUAUGGGAGAGGAGAUUGGAAUUCCUGGUGUAGAGGUGAAAUUCGUAGAUAUCAGGAGGAACACCCGUGGCGAAGGCGAUUCUCUGGACCAAUACUGACGCUGAGACGCGAAAGCGUGGGGAGCAAACAGGAUUAGAUACCCGCGUAGUC
rnacentral:rRNA from 1 species